rnacentral:rRNA from 1 species
AUGAAAAAGGAAUGGGGCCAAUUAGCAGCACAGCUUGAGGUGUGCAUUGCUGCUAUUGAAUCCUGUGGGAAGAUGGGGAAAGGGACAGAAGAAGCGAGGUCUCUUCCUAGGCUUGAUCUUCUAGCAGAGCAGCUACCCACUUUUGAAGAAGUUCAGUCUGGCCCGGCAACCUUAGGGUCAUGGAAGGAACAAUAUCAGAGGCUGCGAGUGAGCCUGAGGAGUGCCAACUUGCAAGCAAAAGUAAACAUUGGAAAAGCUGCUCAAGAAGAGAGGGAGCUUCUUCUGGGAGACGGAAAAGAGUUCACUAUUCGGAGAUGUAAUCUCCAGACAAAGGCUGGGAUGACCUCCGCUGCAGAAAGUAUUACUGAGAGCCUCCGUCGGUCUCGGCAGUUGAUGGUUCAGGAAGUGGAGAGAAGUGCUAAUACCUUGUCAACGUUUGAUGAAUCGACAAGUGUUCUCCGAAAGGCUGAAGGUGAAUAUCAAGGGCACCGCUCUCUGCUGAUGCGCACCCGUGGUUUGCUCUCAACGAUGCAACGGCAAGAUGUUCUUGAUAGGAUCAUCCUGACUGGUGGGUUCCUCGUAUUCUCCUUGGCGUUGAAGACUGUUGUAAGUGCUACAACGGCACCAAUUUAUGUUGAGCCAUUGGCCACAACGCCACCCACAGUUGAAGUUACUGACCGUCGCCUGAUUCCGCUCUCUAAAGAACGUGAAGGUGAAGAAAUUCCUGCUGCUUCCUCAUAG